rnacentral:rRNA from 1 species
AGCGAACGCUGGCGGCAGGCCUAACACAUGCAAGUCGAACGAACUCUUCGGAGUUAGUGGCGGACGGGUGAGUAACACGUGGGAACGUGCCUUUUGGUUCGGAAUAACUCAGGGAAACUUGUGCUAAUACCGAAUGCGCCCUUCGGGGGAAAGAUUUAUCGCCAUUAGAGCGGCCCGCGUCUGAUUAGCUAGUUGGUGAGGUAACGGCUCACCAAGGCGACGAUCAGUAGCUGGUCUGAGAGGAUGACCAGCCACACUGGGACUGAGACACGGCCCAGACUCCUACGGGAGGCAGCAGCGGGGAAUCUUGCGCAAUGGGCGAAAGCCUGACGCAGCCAUGCCGCGUGAAUGAUGAAGGUCUUAGGAUUGUAAAAUUCUUUCACCGGGGACGAUAAUGACGGUACCCGGAGAAGAAGCCCCGGCUAACUUCGUG